rnacentral:rRNA from 1 species
GAUGAACGCUAGCGGCAGGCUUAAUACAUGCAAGUCGAGGGGCAGCACGGUUAGCAAUAACUGGUGGCGACCGGCGCACGGGUGCGUAACACGUAUACAAUCUACCUUAAACAGGGGGAUAGCCUUUCGAAAGAGAGAUUAAUACCCCGUAAUAAAUUGAACGGCAUCGUUUGAUUUUGAAAGCUCCGGCGGUUUGAGAUGAGUAUGCGUCUGAUUAGCUAGUUGGUGAGGUAACGGCUCACCAAGGCGACGAUCAGUAGGGGAUCUGAGAGGACUAACCCCCACACUGGUACUGAGACACGGACCAGACUCCUACGGGAGGCAGCAGUAAGGAAUAUUGGUCAAUGGAGGCAACUCUGAACCAGCCAUGCCGCGUGCAGGAUGACGGCCCUAUGGGUUGUAAACUGCUUUUAUACAAGAGAAAACCCUGGUACGUGUACCAGGUUGAUAGUAUUGUAAGAAUAAGCAUCGGCUAAACUUCGUGCCAGCAGCCGCGGUAAU